CUACGGGCGGCUCCAGUGAGGAAUAUUGGUCAAUGGGCGCAAGCCUGAACCAGCCACUCCGCGUGUAGGAUGACUGCCCUAUGGGUUGUAAACUACUUUUAUACAGGAAGAAACCUCCUUACGUGUAGGGAGCUGACUGUACUGUAAGAAUAAGCAUCGGCUAACUCCGUGCCAGCAGCCGCGGUAAUACGGAGGAUGCAAGCGUUAUCCGGAUUUAUUAGGUCUAAAGGGUUCGUAGGCGGAUGAUUAAGUCAGUGGUGAAAUCCUACAGCUUAACUGUAGAACUGCCAUUGAUACUGGUUGUCUUGAGUAUAGUUGAGGUAGGUGGAAUGUGUAGUGUAGCGGUGAAAUGCUUAGAUAUUACACAGAACACCGAUUGCGAAGGCAGCUUACUAAGCUAUUACUGACGCUAAGGAACGAAAGCGUGGGGAGCGAACAGGAUUAGAUACCCUCGUAGUC
rnacentral:rRNA from 1 species